UUGGAGGGCAAGUCUGGUGCCAGCAGCCGCGGUAAUUCCAGCUCCAAUAGCGUAUAUUAAAGUUGUUGCAGUUAAAAAGCUCGUAGUUGAAUUUCGGGAUCAAUUUAUUGGUCGUGCUAUUGUACGUACUGGUAUUAUUGAUUCCUACCUUCUGACGAACCUUGAUGUCAUUAAUUUGGUGUCAUGGGGAAUCAGGACUGUUACUUUGAAAAAAUUAGAGUGUUUAAAGCAGGCUCACGCUUGAAUACAUUAGCAUGGAAUAACGAAAUAGGACGUUUGAUUCUAUUUUGUUGGUUUCUAGGAUCGACGUAAUGAUUAAUAGGGAUAGUUGGGGGCAUUAGUAUUCAAUUGUCAGAGGUGAAAUUCUUGGAUUUAUUGAAGACUAACUACUGCGAAAGCAUUUGCCAAGGAUGUUUUCAUUAAUCAAGAACGAAAGUUAGGGGAUCGAAGACGAUCAGAUACCGUCGUAGUCUUAACCAUAAACUAUGCCGACUAGGGAUCGGAUGAUGUUAAUUUUUUAAUGACUCAUUCGGCGCCUUACGGGAAAC
rnacentral:rRNA from 1 species